rnacentral:rRNA from 1 species
UACAGAGGUCUCAAGCGUUGUUCGGAUUCAUUGGGCGUAAAGGGUGCGUAGGUGGCAUGGUAAGUCGGAUGUGAAAUCCCGGGGCUCAACCCCGGAACUGCAUUCGAUACUGCUGAGCUAGAGUACUGGAGAGGAGAUUGGAAUUUACGGUGUAGCAGUGAAAUGCGUAGAUAUCGUAAGGAAGACCAGCGGCGAAGGCGGGUCUCUGGACAGUUCCUGACACUGAGGCACGAAGGCCAGGGGAGCAAACGGG